rnacentral:tRNA from 1 species
AGGGUGUUAAGUUAAGUGGAGACUGUAGCACUUCAAAUGUUAGAGCGGGUUGAGUAGCCCACACCUUG